UACGUAGGGCGCAAGCGUUAUCCGGAAUUAUUGGGCGUAAAGAGCUCGUAGGCGGUUUGUCGCGUCUGCCGUGAAAGUCCGGGGCUCAACUCCGGAUCUGCGGUGGGUACGGGCGGACUAGAGUGCAGUAGGGGAGACUGGGAAUUCCUGGUGUAGCGGUGAAAUGCGCAGAUAAUCAGGAGGAACACCGAUGGCGAAGGCAGGUCUCUGGGCUGUAACUGACGUGAGGAGCGAAAGCAUGGGGAGCGAACAGG
rnacentral:rRNA from 1 species